rnacentral:rRNA from 1 species
CAGUCGCCGCGGUAAAACGUAGGGUGCAAGCGUUAAUCGGAAUUACUGGGCGUAAAGCGUGCGCAGGCGGUUUGUUAAGACAGAUGUGAAAUCCCCGGGCUCAACCUGGGAACUGCAUUUGUGACUGGCAAGCUAGAGUCUGGCAGAGGGGGGUGGAAUUCCGCGUGUAGCAGUGAAAUGCGUAGAUAUGCGGAGGAACACCGAUGGCGAAGGCAGCCCCCUGGGCCAACACUGACGCUCAUGCACGAAAGCGUGGGGAGCAAACAGGAUUAGAUACCCCCGUAGUCCCUGUCUCUUAUAC